rnacentral:misc_RNA from 1 species
GAUGAAGAACGUAGUGAAAUGCGAUAAGUAAUGUGAAUUGCAGAAUUCAGUGAAUCAUCGAAUCUCUGAACGCACAUUGCGCCCCCUGGUAUUCCGGGGGGCAUGCCUGUUCGAGCGUCAUUUCACCACUCAAGCCUCGCUUGGUAUUGGGCAACGCGGUCCGCCGCGUGCCUCAAAUCGACCGGCUGGGUCUUCUGUCCCCUAAGCGUUGUGGAAACUAUUCGCUAAAGGGUGUUCGGGAGGCUACGCCGUAAAACAACCCCAUUUCUAAGGUUGACCUCGGAUCAGGUAGGGAUACCCGCUGAACUUAAGCAUAUCAAUAAGCGGAGGA